GAGCGGCGGACGGGUUAGAAACGCGGGGGAACGUACCCUUUUCUACCGAAUAGCCUUUGGAAACGAAUAGUAAUACCGUAUACGCCCUUUGGGGGAAAGAUUUAUCGGAGAAGGAUCGGCCCGCGUUAGAUUAAAUAGUUGGUGGGGUAACGGGGUACCAAGUCUACGGUCUAUAGCUGGUUUUAGAGGAUGAUCAGCAGCACUGGGGCUGAGACACGGCCCAGACUCCUACGGGAGGCAGCAGCGGGGAAUCUUAGACAAUGGGGGCAAGCCUGAUCUAGCCAUGCCGCGUGAGUGAUGAAGGCCUUAGGGGCGUAAAGCUCUUUCGCCUGUGAUGAUAAUGACGGUAGCAGGUAAAGAAACCCCGGCUAACUCCGUGCCAGCAGCCGCGGUAAUACGGAGGGGGUUAGCGUUGUUCGGAAUUACUGGGGGUAAAGCGCACGUAGGCGGAUUGGAAAGUUGGGGGUGAAAUCCCGGGGGUCAACCCCGGAACUGCCUCCUAAACUAUCAGUCUAGAGUUCGAGAGAGGUGAGUG
rnacentral:rRNA from 1 species